rnacentral:rRNA from 1 species
UACGAAGGGGCUAGCGUUGUUCGGAAUUACUGGGCGUAAAGGGCGCGUAGGCGGCGUGUCAAGUCAGGCGUGAAAGCCCCGGGCUCAACCUGGGAACCGCGCUUGAGACUGGCAUGCUCGAGUUCGGGAGAGGAUGGUGGAAUUCCCAGUGUAGAGGUGAAAUUCGUAGAUAUUGGGAAGAACACCGAUGGCGAAGGCAGCCAUCUGGACGGUAACUGACGCUGAGACGGCGAAAGCGUGGG